rnacentral:rRNA from 1 species
UACGGAGGAUCCAAGCGUUAUCCGGAAUUACUGGGCGUAAAGAGUUGCGUAGGUGGCAUGGUAAGUUGGUAGUGAAAGAGUGCGGCUUAACCGCAUAGACAUUACCAAAACUGCCAAGCUAGAGGACGAGAGAGGUUAUUGGAAUUCCUAGUGUAGGAGUGAAAUCCGUAGAUAUUAGGAGGAACACCGAUGGCGUAGGCAGAUAACUGGCUCGUUCCUGACACUAAGGCACGAAAGCGUGGGUAGCAAACGGG